rnacentral:sRNA from 1 species
UGUGGGCAGGGGAGCUGCAGCCUGCAGCAGGAAAGACUGAGGAACUGAGAUAGGCCUGGAGGGGAGCAUUGAGGAGUCUGGCACUGAAGGACCGAGAGGAGCGGAAGCUGCUGCUGGACCCUAGCAGCCCCCCUACCAAAGCUCUCAAUGGAGCCGAGCCCAACUACCACAGCCUGCCUUCCGCUCGCACUGAUGAGCAGGCCCUGCUCUCUUCCAUCCUUGCCAAGACAGCCAGCAACAUCAUUGAUGUGUCUGCUGCAGACUCACAGGGCAUGGAGCAGCAUGAGUACAUGGACCGUGCCAGGCAGUACAGCACCCGCUUGGCUGUGCUGAGCAGCAGCCUGACCCAUUGGAAGAAGCUGCCACCGCUGCCGUCUCUUACCAGCCAGCCCCACCAAGUGCUGGCCAGUGAGCCCAUCCCGUUCUCUGAUUUGCAGCAGGUCUCCAGGAUAGCUGCUUAUGCCUACAGUGCACUUUCUCAGAUCCGUGUGGACGCAAAAGAGGAGCUGGUUGUACAGUUUGGGAUCCCAUGAAG